UUGUUGUAUGGAAGGAGAGAAGGUUAGCACUCCCCUUAAUGAGGAUGGAAGAGGUCUCAGUGUCCUGUACAACACGCAUAUGGUUAAGGCAUUGCUUUUUUAAGUUAGUGACCUUUGUUUUGU
ensembl:snRNA